rnacentral:tRNA from 1 species
GGCUCUGUGGUGAAAUUCAUGGUGAGUUGCAAGCUCACAGAUGUGCGUUGAUUGCGUGCCGGGGCCU